CGCAUGGUGGGGGCCUUUCCUAUACAUGCAAGUCGAGCGAACAGAUAAGGAGCUUGCUCCUUUGACGUUAGCGGCGGACGGGUGAGUAACACGUGGGUAACCUACCUAUAAGACUGGAAUAACUCCGGGAAACCGGGGCUAAUGCCGGAUAACAUUUAGAACCGCAUGGUUCUAAAGUGAAAGAUGGUUUUGCUAUCACUUAUAGAUGGACCCGCGCCGUAUUAGCUAGUUGGUAAGGUAAUGGCUUACCAAGGCAACGAUACGUAGCCGACCUGAGAGGGUGAUCGGCCACACUGGAACUGAGACACGGUCCAGACUCCUACGGGAGGCAGCAGUAGGGAAUCUUCCGCAAUGGGCGAAAGCCUGACGGAGCAACGCCGCGUGAGUGAUGAAGGGUUUCGGCUCGUAAAACUCUGUUAUUAGGGAAGAACAAACGUGUAAGUAACUGUGCACGUCUUGACGGUACCUAAUCAGAAAGCCACGGCUAACUACGUGCCAGCAGCCGCGGUAAUACGUAGGUGGCAAGCGUUAUCCGGAAUUAUUGGGCGUAAAGCGCGCGUAGGCGGUUUCUUAAGUCUGAUGUGAAAGCCCACGGCUCAACCGUGGAGGGUCAUUGGAAACUGGGAGACUUGAGUGCAGAAGAGGAAAGUGGAAUUCCAUGUGUAGCGGUGAAAUGCGCAGAGAUAUGGAGGAACACCAGUGGCGAAGGCGACUUUCUGGUCUGUAACUGACGCUGAUGUGCGAAAGCGUGGGGAUCAAACAGGAUUAGAUACCCUGGUAGUCCACGCCGUAAACGAUGAGUGCUAAGUGUUAGGGGGUUUCCGCCCCUUAGUGCUGCAGCUAACGCAGUAAGCACUCCGCCUGGGGAGUACGACCGCAGGGUUGAACUCAAGGAAUUGACGGGGGACCCGCACAAGCGGUGGAGCAUGUGGUUUAAUUCUAAGCAACGCGAAGAACCUUACCAAAUCUUGGACAUCCUUUGACGACUCUAGAGAUAGAG
rnacentral:rRNA from 1 species